UCUUGCUGAGUUUACUCUUAAUAACUUUUAUUGAUUGCUACCUUUUACUUCUGUAUCUAAUCUAAAGAGACCUUUCUCUUUCAUACUUUUUGCUUCUCACCAGUGAAUUCCAAUGAGGCAACCCACCAUUUCUCAUUGUUCUUAAAUAACUGGAAAACAUCAAGUAUUGCUACCUGCUGACUCAUAUCUUUAAUAUAAUACCAAGAAGGCAAGUACUUUGAGUAAGUGUCAGAUUCUGAUCCAGCAUUUGAUAUGUGAUCUUUAUCCCAACCUGUAACGUUGGGAUAAAUACUUUUGGACUCCUUCUUUCUAUAUUUUCUGAUCCUUGCUGUCCCUUUAACACAGGGCAUUCAAACCAGAAUGAGGAUCGGAAUUGCCCAGGGUGCUAAUUUAAAACAAGAUUCCUAAACUUCAGUCCCAUGGGUUCUAAUAAUAGCCAAUCUGGCCUGGUCAGCUAAAAUUACAAAUUUAAGAUACAGUUAUAUCAAGAUUCAGCUGUAUUGUUGAAUUCUGUAAUUUCUAAUAUUCUACCCUUCAGCCAACCUAAAAUUCUUAUUCUGCCAACCUAAAAUUGACUAGCUCACCGUCUUACAGCAGUAGGGACUCAUUAUACUGUCAGGCUGGUUUUACCUCAAGACGUGAAGGAGAAAAGAGGCCUGUUAUUGACCCUUACAGUUUGUUUUGGGAUCUCUCCUUUUUACUGAGCCAGUGUGGGACAUCACUGUGGUAUAUGCUCAUAUAGGCCUUUGAUUUUUACUACUCAUCAGGAUUUGAAUAUUACUCUAACAGUCUUCAUGCUUAGGCAAGUUACAAUCCUUUUAAAAAGUUUUAUAAUUUAAAAUUAUUUAGAAAUUAUAUCUAAUUUCCCCAUAAUAGAACCUAAUAGCCAACUUUUUGUAGAAAUUCUAGAUGUGCUUAAACAACUAUAAAUGAUAUACCUAUAAACUAUAAAGUGUUUAGAAGUAUAAAUUAGUCAAUAUAACACAGAAACCAAUCUUAAAAUAGAAUUUAAUGCCCUAUAGUAUCAGAUUAAAUUUAUCUUCUCUAUGAUUCAUGUCUUAUUUUUAUUGCAACAAGUCAGAAGGUAAGGAACACUUUAAGUUCUUAAAAUUUACAGGGUCUCAUUUGGAUAAAGGCAGCAUUCCUAAAGCCUUUUUAAUAUAAUAAUCUGAGAAUUUCUCUGUAGAGCAGAGACUUUGAAACUUUUUGGUUGUAAUCCACAGUAAAAACUGCAUUUAUAUCAAAACUCAGCAUGUGCAUUAUGGAACAAUACUUGCCAUUAUGUAUAGUGUACUCUGAUGUUUUUUAUUGUUUCAGUUUUUUAAAUAUUCUAGUUGUAACCUACGAAAUUGAUUUCAUAAUCUACCAAAGAGUUUUUUGACCCUUAGUUUGGAAAAAAAAAAACAAACACCCUUAUAGAGGAACUGAUAUUUAUGGAGUAGUUUCUGUUUGCCAGGCACUUCACUAGGCAUUUUACAGGUAAGGAAACUGGGUCUCAGAGGAGGUAAAUAAUUUGCAGAGGGUUAUUCAACUACAAAUGGGUGAAGCCAGGAUGUAAACUAGGUCUGUUGAACUACAAAAACUUUUGUUACUCUCAUACUGUGUUGCUUCUGUAUAUUAAAAUUGAGAUGGGCUAUUCACUCUGCUUCACCCAAACACCCAUAUAUUCUGUAAGGCAGGCUUGCUUUGAAAUUACACAUGCCAUUCAUUUGCACUUUUCUUAAAAUCUUCUGUUGCCUCACCAAAUGGCCAGCAGCCUCGAAGUUUUUAAUGGUGGCCAACGCAGCAGUACGUAGUGCUGAAUUUGGUCCUUAGACUAUAAAAUUAAUAGUGUUUCCAUCCCACCCACACAUCCUACAGAUUUCCUUAUAUUUGUGAGUCAUAGCCAUCACUUAAGCAGUGCUUUUUAUAUUGAAUUUUAAAAUAAACUUUAAUAUUUUUUAAAACAAUCAUAACUCAUAGAAUCAAAUGAUUAUCCUUUAAAAUGGUACCCUUGGGAGGCCAUGCACUUACUGUAGUGAUGCUAGUAUUACUUAGAAUAUUUUUGAAACUCUUCUUUUGGAAUUGCCUCUAAAGACAUUUUACAAAUCACAUAAAAAAAGCCAUCUCAGUGUUUAUCAGUCACAGACUAUGCUCCCUUGUCCUUAUGACCUCUUCUCUCUUCCUUCCUCAGUUUUGCUUUUCUUCUGCUGAUUUAGCUCUCCUACCCACCUAAGCUGAAGCCAAUAACCUAAGAAGCCCCAGAAAAGGGGUGUGCUGGCCAAAGUUCCCGGAGCAAGAACUUUCAGGUUAUACUGAAGCCGCGUGCUGUAUAGGGAGAGUUCUGCGAAUCCAAAAACCUUCCUCUGUGGGCUGCCUGCCUGCCCGUAAGUGCCCUAAAGUAGUUUGCACAGGAGUAAGGACUGAAUACUGGCGUUGUCUAUCAAUCACAAGAAGCUGUACGUGAAAUGUACAACAUUUUUCUCCAGUGAAAGUCACAGAAGCCAAACCAAGCCAUUCUUUGUGUUAACUUAGAAAAGUCAUUUUCAGGGUCCCCCUUGCCCUUCGUUGCUGCCACAUGACAUCUUUGGGAGGAAGGAUGAAGAAAAGCAUGGGGAAAUGGUUCUCCUGUGAAAUGGGACAUUUUCUUCUCAUAAUAAAGUAUAACAUGGCAGUGGCUAUCAGGUACUUAUGAGUGCUAGAGACUCUUUUUAAGUAGUCAGAGGCCUAAUAAAAAGUAGGGAGGCUUCCCCCUAGCCUAAAUUAAUGUGAACAGUUCAGGUUCUGUUUGUGUUUUGAUUAACAUUUCAUGUUGUUUCUAACAAGAUGUUCUCAACUAUUUAUAUUCAUUAAUUUGACACCAUUUCACAGAGACACUUCUUGGGUAUUGUAAACAAUCAAUGGUAGAAGAUCCACAUAGAGUCCAUAUUCCUGCCCUCAAAGGAAUUACUUAUUGUGGGAGACAAGAAAAACGUCCGUGCAAUAUUAACAACAGAAAUAAAUUCAUAUAGAAACGUAAAAGGUGUCAAAGGCAAAUGAUUUGCCCAAGAUUAAAGCUAGUUAGCACAAAAGCUAGAAUUAUAGCCAUGGUCUAAGAAAAAAAAAAUCCACAAAGUAAUUUAACUGAGUUUGUUACACCAUAUCAGGUUGCCCGCUGAAGCCUGUGGUCUUUCAGACCAGCUUUAACAUUCCAAAUCAGUCAACAACUAUAGUGGAAAGAGAAUUGGAUGGGGAAUCAGGAGAUCAUAGUUUUACUUGUGGCUUUGUCACUUUUACUCAAGCGUGGCUCCUUUCUCCCAUUCUAGCCAGGGAUUCUCCAUUCUUUAUAUCUAGCCUCUUACUGGGUCUUGUUAAUUGUUUGAAUAUUAGUUGCGUUCAUUUCUUAAAUAUAUUCAUAACCAUCACUCUAGUAAAAGACUUUAUUACCUCACAUCCCCUACCUCAUCUUCCCCAACUUUAGGCCAUUCCCCACAUCAUUGCCCCAAGAACUGUCUUUCAUUUUUCUGCUGAAAUAUUUUCAGCAGAUCCUGUUGAAUACCUGAUAAAGUUCAGCCUUCCAUGUACUGGCCCCAGCUUUGUCUCUUCAUAUUCACUACUCAACCAUCUGACAGUGCCACUGAAAAUCAGACAUUCCGUAAGAAUGAUUUUAAGCUUUUUCUAUGGUGAAGGUACAAACUGGUAAUAAACUAUGUUUACGUUUUUUUCCAGACUAAAGCAAUUUCUGUAAUACUACAUUUUACACUAGUCAACUGAGUUUUGUUUAAGCUCUUGAACAAGUCUAGAAGUUGUUUCCUAAGGAGAAGAAGUCUUUUGUCCCCUCAGAGGAAAUUACAUUCAAUUUCUUAACCUCCAAAACAAUGUCAGUCUUGUCACCUGUACAUUGGAUAGCCAAAGCAUGAAGAUUUUAAUUUAGCAGCAUAGAUACUCCAGACUUGAAUGGACCAUUGUCCAGCUCCUGUGAGAAACUUGACUAAUAAAUAUUUGAGGAAAUUACUCGAGUACAUACAUACAUGUUAUCCAUACAUUUCUCAAGUACUUGAGAUUGUCUUUUAUUAAGGUUAAUCACUAAAAAAGAUGUUUACCAAGAUUUCUUUAAUUAACCCCCUAAAGAUGUUUUCCAUUUUAUUGUUAAAACCCUUGGUGUUAGCAAGGUUUAGCACAAAAGGCCCAAUGGUGAGAAUUUCUACAAAUUAUGUAAAGCUUACUGAAUUCGCUUUUUAUGUUGCUGAGUGGUGCUUAUAUGAGGAAACAUGCAAUAAAUUCAUUCAACAAACGUUUAACUGAAUGCCUGUUGUAUGUUGAGUGUCAGUGCCAUACGUAGAAAAAUAUUAGACCUGUAGGAUCUACCCAUGUAAACCAUGCAGGCUAAUGAAUUCAGAUACUCAAAGCAAGUAAAUCACAGUAAAACAUGGUAAGUACCCUAAAAGAAGAGCAAAGUAAUAUGAGGACACAGAGAAUGGAGUGACUCUUUCUGCCUGGAAAAGACGGGAAGGCUUUGUGGAACAGGUGGUAUUUGAACAGUACUCUAUAAAGAAGAAUCUGCCUGACUGAAGACCAGGUUUGUGAGCUUUCAAGUGGUAAAGGAAUUGCUCGUACAAAGGGUUCAAAACAUGAACGAAUAUUCAUGUUUUAGUGUGCUUAGAGAAAACAAAGGAAUGGGAGUGAUGAAGCUGGUUAGAUGAAAAUACAGGCUAUGGUAGUUUUCAUACGUGUAUGUGUAUAUGUAUUUAAUAUGUAUAUAUUUUUGUAUAUAAUAAUUCUUUGUUUAAGGGACUAAUGUAUUGCUUUGUGUCAGAUAAGUCUGUUAUAAACCUCUGAGUUCUUCCUUUUGCCUUCGUUGCCAGGGAAGUUAGUAAUAAACCUCACAUUUGCCUGGACUCUUGGUAUAUUUGGCAUAUUUGCUUUUCUUUCCCACAUGUAAGAAAUGAUUUGUGCUUUCUUGCCUCUGCUGUAAGAUCCCCUGCUUGACAUUGAAUGCCUGCUUUCUUCCUAUCCUGCUAUUCAUUCCAUAAAUAUUUAUUGAAAACCCACUGAGAAAAUAGUCAUGAAAUUUACUUUUGCCUUUUAGUGUCCAAGACCUUCAUGGUCCAGUUUUCCAUCUCUCUAUGAAUAUUUCUUGACAACUGCAAUUCAGUGGCUUCCAUUUUCACUUGGGGCUAGUUCUGCAAUGUUUUACAACUUCAUAGGUAUAAAAUUCUUUCAUUUGUGCUAGUGUGAUCUCCAUAACUAGAAUGUAAGCUUCUUACAGGGAAGGGACCUAUCAUCUGCUUCUUAGAGUAUUUUAUAACACAAAGUACAGUGAUGAGAAGGGGAAAAGAAACUACACCCCUAUUAGUGACUCCAUGAUGGUGAGUGAUAAGGUCAUGGCAUGUGUGUUCUGCUGUUUUCAGGGAUACGUACUGAAAUGUUAAAAAGCUUUCUAAGACGUAUCAAACCUUUGCUCAGUCCUCACUUUUGUAUAUUAACAUAGGAAUGAAUGAAGCAAAAGAAGAAAUCUGGAUAACAUCUCUAAAACUUGGAAGACAUGAAUUGAAAAUUUCAGAAUUUGGAGGCAAGUUUACACACGGCAUCAUGAGAGUGGGCAUACAGCUUCCUCCCUGGCAUUCAUCCCAGUAAGUAAAACACAUGAGAGACAGCACAGAUGGGCAAGUAUGUGAUCUUUUAGCUGAGUGGCCGAGUUGGGAAAGAAACAACAGGACAGCAAGGCCUAGCAAUACUUUGCUAUUAAAGUAAGAUACUAAUAGAGAAUAAAAAUAGCCUCUAUUAAUGUAAUUCUCCUGGAGGGGAGAAAUUUAGGAAAGUAUAGCUCUUUCUAUUCCUAUGCAAGAAAACCACUUCUUGUGGGAAGGCUCCCUUGACCCCCCAGCUGCACACACACCUCCAGGCGCCUGUGGUUAACUCACAGCACGGCACCUACAACAUUCUAUUAUAAUCAUCUUUUUACCCGUCUGUUUUGCUCCUUCGCUCAACUUUGAGCUCUCUGACAGUAGGGGCAGUCUUGUUCACUGUUGUAUCCUUAGCCUGGCAACAGUAGAUUAAUGCUUGCCGAAUGGUAAAUGUAUGGUGUUUUGUAAACCACAUGUGGUAUUCUGUCAACUCACUGUAGUCUGUCCUUCCACGAGGCUGAGUGACUAAGCUAGGGGUCAAAUCUGCCUCACAGAAAAUGUGUAGUGUUCAUGGGAAAGUUUCCAGCACUUCUGCAGGACUCUGCACUGCCCAAAAGAGCACUCCAGUGUCAUUCUGAAAAUUAUGCAUCUCUGGGUUGGUGUAAGAUUUUAAUCUAUUCUAGACUAAAACUCUUAAGACCCCAUAAUCAAUUUAGGGUAUAGGAUUAAAUGUGACUAGAUAUCAGAUAAUUGGCAUUCACAGAUGACCGAGUCCAUUCCAGUUAUGGUGAUGCUUUCUUGUCCCUUAUUCAUUUGUUCAUUUAUUAUGUAAUUUGGCUUUUUUUUUUUCCAUCAGAGACUUAUUAAUCACUCACAGUGCUCUAGGUUGCUGGAAAUACAGAGAUGGAGCAGUUCCUGCUUCCAGAGCAUUCACAUGGUGAUAAGGAAAAGGGAUACAUAUACUUCCAAUUUUCUAUUAGACUGGGUAUUCUAAAACAUAUAAAUAAAGGGCUGUGGGACCACAAGUGGUGAUAAUUCAUCCUGGGCAUUGAAGGAUGGACAGAAGGAAUUUACUAGGCAAGGUAGGGGAGAGGGAAUAAAGGGAGCAUUUUAGAGAAGCAAUUUGUAAGCUGCACUUUUCCUCUUCCAGUGACUCCAAAAUCUAUUCUCUAAGGGCAGGCCAGCCCUUCCCCAGUGUGCUGUGCAAGAGGGACCUUUGACGCUUCAGCUAAAGGCUAGGUUUGAGUUAUCUGCACAUGGAUUCAUAUAGCUUCCCAUUCUGAGUCAUGUACUAUUAAAUAAUCUAAAAAGUAACUUUAAAACUGGAAAAUCUUGCAACUCUGGUCAUCUGGAUUCUGAAUGUUCAUAUUUAUGACAAAUUGAAUUAGUAAAAAGUCUCAAAUAUAGAAAUAUUUUAUAAAUAUAGUUUUAUUACUUGGAAAUACAUACAAAAAUUCAAACACAGCUAAAAAACAGUUGCCAAGCAGCAGUCCUAUCCAACCUGUUUUAAUGAACACAUAAAACAGUUAUAAUCAGCAUAAAACAAUUUAAGUCCUAAAACAACUUACUGUCUUCAGGGUCUUUAAAUAUUGGGCUUAAAAACUGAUUAUUCUUUACAGUUAUUUAAAUCAUUCCCCCAAAUAUAGACUACUAACAUUUCAGUUUGGUUCAUAUUUUAUUUAGAAAACAGCAAAAGCCCUUUAACGAUUUUGAAAACUGGAAUACUAUUUGUCCAUUUCUAGUCUUCUGUUACUUUAUAAUCUCCAUGGUGUCUCAGAAAUUCCCAACAGUUGCUAACAGAGCAUUUGCAACAUCCAGCAGCUCUCUGCGAUACUGAAUUUUGGGCCUAAGAAUCCUAAAACUAUUCAAGGUGACAAGAUUUUUACUUCUCAUUUUUGCAGUUUUGCUUAUGUCAUUUUUUUUGUCCACGCAGACUAGACCUCCUUGUCAGAGAAAAACAAAACAAAACAUUGAAUUAUUCUGCUUUUCCAGAUUGUUAAUCCAAUAUACUCCUUUUCUAUUCUUUUUGCCGAUUCAGGUUUUUAAUUCUUUCUUGGCAACUUCAGCAUUUUCUGAAUUUUUUUUUAAAUUUAAGCUCAUUCUGAGCUUUAACAUUUCAAACACUGAUUUUUAUAUUUCACUUUGCUCUUUUUGGGCUUUAUCAUGCCAGUUUUUCCUUCUUUUAUAUGUGAUCUUGACAAAUUGACUUCAUCAAAGAGCUCUCCAUGAGAUGCUUUAGAUGCCCGUUGUCUGUCUUCCUCUCUAGGUCCAUUUAACUUAAAAAAGGUUCAGAAUUUCAUCUAAAGUAAGUUUUCAUCCUUUUAUGGUCCCCCUCACUACUGUAACACUUUUUGAAAAACUGGAAAAGGUAGUGGGCUGACAAGCAGUCUAAUUUUGGUUUUGCAACUCGACUAUGUUCUUCAGUCUAGUCUAGCAUCCCUUCUCUUCACGGCUAAGGAGCCUGAGGCCUGGAGUAGAUUGGAUAAAAUUAGAAGACUUCCACCUGUAAUAUUCUCUGAUUCGUGCAUGGUUCAGAGGGGAAGACGUCUAAAUUGUGAGUUCUAGAUUCCUGGAAGUUCUCUCUUUACAUCCAACUGAUGACAAAUCCCUAUGGAAUCUCUUGUAUUUGUUCCUCUCCAUCUCUGCUGUCACUGUCUUAGUUCUGGCCGUUAUCCCUCCUCUACUGGACUCAAUUUAAUCAUAACCUAGACUUGCUGCUACAGUGUUCUUUCUCAAACUUAAAUAUGAACAUACUUGCCUGCUUAAAUUUGUUGCUGGAUCUCUACUGGCUAUAAGAUACAGUAAAAACCCCUUCCUUAGCUUGGCAUACAAGGCCCUGCACAAUCAGCUCCAACUUUCUUUCUCACUGCCCUAGCCACAGGCCUUCUCCCCACCCGACCCUGCACUAGCCCUGUGGCAGAACUUAUUUUAUCUAGUGCAUUUUGCUGUUUCGCACUUGAGCUUGUUAACUUUUUAUGAAAUUGGGCACCAAGUCCUCAUGAGUGCUGAGCCUUUCAGGGAUACAAAAUUACCCAAGGUCACUGCAUAUCUCAUUCAUUCAAUAAACAUAUGAUGAUGACUACUAAGUGUCCAGAAAUGCUAGGCACUGGAGACAUAGGCAUACAAUUCAGUAUCCUUGUCCUCAGUGGCUUCACACUCUAGAGAAGACAGUGAUGAUAGUGGCAGGGCUAGAGCUUAAGUCCCCAUAUGCAUGAAUGCUAAAUAAAGUUUCAGAUCCACUCACUUUUUUAACAGGCACUCAGUUAUAUUAGAUCACAUUGAACAUGUGCUCCUUGAGGCCUUUAUCAUAAUAACUACUCUAAAACCAAUUCUGUGCAACACAAUUCUUAAGUGUUAUCUUUUGUUUACUAUUUUUUAAAAGCCAAUUACAGGAUUACAAAUUUAUUCCAGUCAACUGCAGGUGCUUUUGGUUUUGUGUGCUAGUUUAAUGUUUGUAAAUUUUCAUUCUGACCACCUCACAUUUGGUCCAUCUUCUGACCUGAAGACUGUAGCUCUGAUUUCAAAGUUAAUGAUUAAAAGCAAUGAAGAGAACAGAACUAAGGCCCAACCUUUAGGAAGCUCUGUCCUGCUUUUCUAGCAUCUUCUACUAAACAUGCCCCUUACUACCUUGUUAACAUUUAUUAUUCUAAAUGAAAUGAUGGGUAAGUCAUGCAUAACUAAGAAUUUUAGGCUGAUUUUUAAAAAUAACAAUCAUUAAAUAUUUAUUAUAAAUAUUUAUUUUAAAAGAAUUGGAAGAUGUUACAUAUAUUACAUACUACAUAUAAUGGCACAUGUCAGCCUUUUAAGCUUAAAAAUAAUCUUUCCCCAAACUGGGAUUGACUUAGACUCCAAGUAUAAAAUGACUCUUGGCCUAUAGCACCAACCCAGGCCCAGAGGAAAGCCAUUUUGAACCUGUCCUCUGGCAUUGGGCUUCCUGAUAUGACACUUGAGGGUCCUCUCCCUCUGGUUUUGUUCCCUGGCAGUAUUGAGGCCUGGCACAGGGACCCAUUUGACUACACCGCAGGCCUAGGAGAUCAGGGAAUCUAUAGGGCGUAGGGUCCUCUAACAAUUUUACAAUGGAAAAAGCAAAACAAAACAACCUAUGUGCCUUAUUGUCUUCAUUUUUGGUCUAUACAACUAGAACAAGACUACAAGAUAGAAGAAGGUUAGAAUUACUGAAAUACAUUUUCUCUGCUGGUUUUUCUCUUUGGAAAUUUAAGUAUCGUGAUAGGAGGAGCCUUAAAAGUCAUCUAGUUCAAUAUUGGUAAUCUGUUCCACUAGUAUCUCCUUUUCCCAGAUUUAGGUAUAAUUCAAAGUUUUAAAUGCCAUCCAUAUGACACUUUGUUAGACAAACACAUAGAAAUUUAAUAACACUUUUCAUUUUCUUUUUCUUAAUUCAUAAGGACAAUUCCUGCCAAAUGUUCUGGCUUAUGGCUCUCCUCCUCUUCAUAGUAUGUUUAAGUUACACAUUAAGAAUCCAAAAAAAACCCACUAUGGAAUUUUCAUAAGCAACAUCCAACCAAUCAGUAAAACACAGUACACAGUGUGAAAAUUUUAAUUUAUUCCCCCCCCAAGUAUCCAGAAUACGUACCCCCUUAGCUUUGAGAAAUGUGAUAACUAAAAUAACCAACAGAGGUGAUCAUAUAUAAAGAAAAGAAAGAAAA